UAGAAAAUUGUGUAAUGGUUGCACGAAGGGCUUUGAUUCCUUAUGUGUAGGUUCGAGUCCUGUUUUUCUAG
rnacentral:tRNA from 1 species